rnacentral:rRNA from 1 species
CCUACGGGCGGCAGCAGUGAGGAAUAUUGGUCAAUGGGCGCAAGCCUGAACCAGCCAAGUCGCGUGAGGGAAGACGGCCCUACGGGUUGUAAACCUCUUUUGCCGGGGAGCAAGCCUGAGCACGUGUGCCCAGGCGGAGAGUACCCGGAGAAAAGGCAUCGGCUAACUCCGUGCCAGCAGCCGCGGUAAUACGGAGGAUGCGAGGGUUAUCCGGAUGUAUGGGGUUGAAGGGGUGCGCAGGCGGGCUGUUAAGCAGGCGGUAAAAAUGCAGGGCUCAACCCUGUCGGGCCGGCGGAACUGGCAGUCUUGAGUGGGCGAGAAGUAGGCGGAAUGCGUGGUGUAGCGGUGAAAUGCAUAGAUAUCACGCAGAACGCAGAUUGCGAAGGCAGCAUACCGGCGCCCAACUGACGCUGAGGCACGAAAGCGUGGGGAUCGAACAGGAUUAGAUACCCUUGUAGUC